AGAGUUUGAUCAUGGCUCAGGACGAACGCUGGCGGCGCGCCUAACACAUGCAAGUCGAACGAGCGAGAGAGAGCUUGCUUUCUCGAGCGAGUGGCGAACGGGUGAGUAACGCGUGAGGAACCUGCCUCAAAGAGGGGGACAACAGUUGGAAACGACUGCUAAUACCGCAUAAGCCCACGACCCGGCAUCGGGUAGAGGGAAAAGGAGCAAUCCGCUUUGAGAUGGCCUCGCGUCCGAUUAGCUAGUUGGUGAGGUAACGGCCCACCAAGGCAACGAUCGGUAGCCGGACUGAGAGGUUGAACGGCCACAUUGGGACUGAGACACGGCCCAGACUCCUACGGGAGGCAACA
rnacentral:rRNA from 1 species